AGGACGAACGCUGGCGGCGUGCUUAACACAUGCAAGUCGAGCGGAAAGGCCUCUUCGGGGGUACUCGAGCGGCGAACGGGUGAGUAACACGUGAGUAACCUGCCUUCAGCUUUGGGAUAACCCUCGGAAACGGGGGCUAAUACCGGAUAUUCACUGUUCUGGGCGUCUGGGGUGGUGGAAAGUUUUUCGGCUGGGGAUGGGCUCGCGGCCUAUCAGCUUGUUGGUGGGGUAAUGGCCUACCAAGGCGGCGACGGGUAGCCGGCCUGAGAGGGCGACCGGCCACACUGGGACUGAGACACGGCCCAGACUCCUACGGGAGGCAGCAGUGGGGAAUAUUGCACAAUGGGCGGAAGCCUGAUGCAGCGACGCCGCGUGAGGGAUGACGGCCUUCGGGUUGUAAACCUCUUUCGACCCUGACGAAGCGUGAGUGACGGUAGGGGGAGAAGAAGCACCGGCCAACUACGUGCCAGCAGCCGCGGUAAGACGUAGGGUGCGAGCGUUGUCCGGAUUUAUUGGGCGUAAAGAGCUCGUAGGCGGCUCGUCGCGUCGACCGUGAAAACCCGCGGCUUAACUGCGGGCUUGCGGUUGAUACGGGCGGGCUAGAGUUCGGUAGGGGAGACUGGAAUUCCUGGUGUAGCGGUGAAAUGCGCAGAUAUCAGGAGGAACACCGGUGGCGAAGGCGGGUCUCUGGGCCGAUACUGACGCUGAGGAGCGAAAGCGUGGGGAGCGAACAGGAUUAGAUACCCUGGUAGUCCACGCUGUAAACGUUGGGCGCUAGGUGUGGGGGGCCUCUCCGGUUCUCUGUGCCGCAGCUAACGCAUUAAGCGCCCCGCCUGGGGAGUACGGCCGCAAGGCUAAAACUC
rnacentral:rRNA from 1 species